rnacentral:lncRNA from 1 species
AGAUCUGAGCUGAACCAGAAGAAAUCUGUUUUAAACUGUGUGUGGAACAUCUCACUUCAGAGAACCUUCCUCACUGAUCUUAGCUUCAUUGUAGGUGAUCCCAACUUGGGAUGGACAGUUCUGAAGAGAUCUGAUUUGUCUUAUAUUCAGUCUCCAAGGUGAGCCUUACCAGACACAGGUUAAUCGUGGUUUCUUAUUUUCACUUUUGACCUAAUGCAAAGUGCCACCUGCAGCCCCUGUGCAGUUAUACUAUUGUAUCAUAUAAUAUAAUAUCUGUAUAAUACAAUGGAAUAGCAACACAGUAUUGUCAGCUGUUCCCAGGAAUGGUUGAUUGUGGAGGAAAGGGUGUGGGGAAUGCUUGUCGGAGAUCAAACAAGUAAAAACAUUAAUUGGUGUAAGUUACUGGAUAAGUAAAGUUUACUGGGUAGGGGUCUGUGCUUACUUGGUUGUCCCAAGUGUUUUACAAAUAACACAAAGUAUACACGUGCGUAGAUUUCCAUGCACAACGUACAUAUUGUUGCCUACCAUUCCAUUAUUGCGGAGCCCCUUACAGACAGAGUUCACUAAUCUGAGUCUCAGAUGUGACAGGCACUUUUGUUGCAAAUGAUCGUCCCAAAUCUUUCAGGAAUGUUUCCUUAUUUUAUCUCUUUCAAUAGCUCUUUGUGAUUUUCAGGGGCAGAACGUCCUCUUUCUGAUUCUGGGUAAGUUUAGUGGAAUAUUUGAGCACCUAACACCAGACACAGGAUUAAUUACCCGACUAAUGUUAAGUGUGGAAGAGAGAUUUGUUGCUGAAUCUUGCAUGUUACCCGAAUGUUGCUACAUCCUUGAAAUGUGAAAAUUUUUUGAAUAAAUUGACCAACCUUAUUUUGGUGACAUAAUCAGUGAACGAGUUGACAUGGUGAUUUUUUAAAAAAAUGUCAUUUAUGAAUAUGGACGCAAGUUACCAAAAUAUUUUAUCAAAGUGAGCCCUUCCCACCAAAUACAUUAAAACUUUCUUUUUAAGUGAGUCUGUUGACCAGAGGAUAAAGUCGUACGACACUGUGAACACAGCAUGUGGACGGGUUCAGGGCUGGAGGGGCAGAAGACGGUAGAGGAUAAAGAGAGGAGGGGCACAUUUUACAGUUUCUCACACAUCGGUCGUAUUUUGUAAAUCCGUCUUUUUCAUUUAUCUGUCUUCAUAAAUCCGUCGCUCUGAUUCCACUCUCACUGUCUGGUAUUUUUCCGUUUCGUAUUUGUGGGCAGAGUAGAAGCUCAUGAGCCCGGAGCUGCAUCCCUGACCCCUUCUCUCCUUCCGGCCGCGGCCCCUCUGGGGAGUCAGAAGAGCCACGGAAAAGAGCCCAGGGAUACGGAUUCGGAUCCUGUCUCUAACCUCUAAGCAGCGGUGACCUGGGAUCCGAACCCAAGCCUCGCUGGGUCCUGUGUCCCUGCUCUGUUUCACUAAACCGUUCUGGAUCCCCAGACUGGACGUGGGUUCUUGCAUCUGAGUGGUGCUUUCCAGGCUGUGAAGCAUUUCCUCAUAGUCUCUUUACGUCUCUCUCUUCCCCGAGACUCUCAGCACCUGCAGAACAGGGAGUGUGUGUCUGAUCUCUGCAUCUCCGGAGUUUGGCAGGGCUCCUGGCCCACAACAUUGUGGAAGAGAGGCAGGUAAAGGAAGGAUGGACUUUUAUCUCACUCCUACCGGGAGCCUGAGAGGUGUCAGGAGGAUGGAGAUAGGGCUUGCCAAGCACCUAACACGGCUCAAUAAACACAGGUUCUUAUUGUUAUAAGUGGGGACCAGGUAUGAUUCACUUGGAGCGGUCAAAACAAACCCAAAAACCCAGCAUAAUGGAUUUGAGCUCUCAACCCGGUUCUGUGUUUCCGCUUGACUUUAGUGCCCUUCAAUCUAAGUCAAGUGUAGAUCUGUUCAGAUGGGCAGGUGUUGGCUUCAUAGUAAUCGACAUUAAGUAUAACUGCUUUUCCUUCCUCUACUGGCUUCCUUUUUUCCGCAUCUUCUCCUCGCUUCUGCAGGCAUUUAUCAAUUCUCUGGUUUAUGCCAGGAUUUUGCUGUUUGCUGGAGAUG